rnacentral:rRNA from 1 species
AUUGAACGCUGGCGGCAUGCCUUACACAUGCAAGUCGAACGGUAACAGGUCUUCGGAUGCUGACGAGUGGCGAACGGGUGAGGAAUACAUCGGAACGUGCCUAGUAGUGGGGGAUAACUACUCGAAAGAGUGGCUAAUACCGCAUGAGAUCUACGGAUGAAAGCAGGGGAUCGCAAGACCUUGUGCUACUAGAGCGGCCGAUGGCAGAUUAGGUAGUUGGUGGGAUAAAAGCUUACCAAGCCGACGAUCAGUAGCUGGUCUGAGAGGACGAUCAGCCACACUGGGACUGAGACACGGCCCAGACUCCUACGGGAGGCAGCAGUGGGGAAUUUUGGACAAUGGGCGCAAGCCUGAUCCAGCAAUGCCGCAUGCAGGAUGAAGGCCUUCGGGUUGUAAACUGCUUUUGUACGGAACGAAAAGCCCUGGGUUAAUACCCUGGGGUCAUGACGGUACCGUAAGAAUAAGCACCGGCUAACUACGUGCCAGCCGCCGCCGUAAAAC